GUGUUGGAACACAGAUUCCCGUAUGAUCAGCGAAGUUAAGCAAUGUUGAGUAUGAACAGUACCUAGAUGGGUAACCACUUGGGAAUACCAGUUGCUGUAAG